rnacentral:rRNA from 1 species
UACGUAGGGUGCAAGCGUUGUCCGGAAUUAUUGGGCGUAAAGAGCUUGUAGGCGGUUUGUCGCGUCUGCUGUGAAAUUUCGGGGCUCAACCCCCGAACUUGCAGUGGGUACGGGCAGACUAGAGUGUGGUAGGGGAGACUGGAAUUCCUGGUGUAGCGGUGAAAUGCGCAGAUAUCAGGAGGAACACCGAUGGCGAAGGCAGGUCUCUGGUACGUGACUGACGCUGAGACGCGAAAGCGUGGGGAGCAAACAGG